CCACCUUAAUUUCUCUCGUAACUUUUUCGGCUCCUCGGCUUGUAGCUUCUCGAGCUUUUUCUGAUUCGGGCGGUGCUCAUGGCCGCUCUGUUUUUGUUCCCUCUUGGGAAGCGUCUCCUCUCUUUUUCUUUCUCUCUCCCCUUUUUAUUCUUUGUCUUUUCCUUGGCUCCGUGCCUCUCCUCUGCCUCUUUCUCUUGGCGCUUUUAUCGUCUUUGCUCCUCCAGCUCCUGAAGUUUCUGCGCCUCGAGCUGCUGUUUCUUCGGCGAGGCGUCACUCAGGUGUUCGGAAUCCAGAGGAACCUUCCGGAGCAGACGGUGGUCUGGCGCUGCUCGCCUUUCCACGGGAGGUUCAGGCGGCCCAGGGCUUGGAUGAAGCCCACAGGCGUACUCGCGGCAUGCGCCUUGGCCUGGAAGUUCAGGUGUCCCCGAAGUUGAAGGUGUGGAAGUUCCGGCCUGUCAUCUCCUCCUCUUGUGGGUCCAGCACGGGGAUGUCCAUGUUCCCCUAUCUCCCCACCUUCUCAAGCACCUUGACCAUGACCUGCUCUCUGGGCCAACUCUUGCGCAUUUUGCAGGGCGGCCCCUCCAGGUGACUCGUGCCCGGCUUCUCUUCCGGCAGCAUUUCAUUCUCUAACUUUGUGUCAUGGGAGAAAGAAUCCCCUGGCAUGUGGGGAAAUUGGUUUUGAACUUGGCGGCGCGCACCUUGCGGACUUGAGGGAAGCUGCCAAGCUUAAUGACCUUGCCAUGGAGGCAGGCCAGGAAAGACGUGAAACGAUUUUUGCCUAAUUUGCCCUCCAAGCAGAUGAGGUCCAUGGUGUCCUUGGAAAUCGCAGAGUGGAGAACUGGAGAUUGUGCACCAUGGCCUUAAGUCUUUCCAGCCCCUGCCUGCUGGAUGGACUUCCCCUGCUGCUUAAGCCUUGGAGGGCCACUCUGAUGGUCACCUUCAUGGUGGGCUGGAAAUAGAGGCCUACAGAGGACAGAGCUCCUCUGUCUCAUAUGUGUCAUGGACUGUUCUAGAGGUGGCCUUAGCCCAGCAAGCUUGGCCUCCCUGCCCGGCACCAUCACCGUUUGCUUGAAGUGCCCUUGGAGCCACUGGCCGCUGUCACUGCCCAUCUCUAUGACUGUGCUGAGUGCUGGAGAUACAGAGCCUUAUCAAGAAGAGAAGUCUAAGGGAGAACAGAUUGGUGGUUGCCAGAAGCAGAGGGUGAAGGGUGUCAAAAGAGAUUGUCUAGCUCAGGUUCAAAGAUGAAUCUAUGUUAUUAAAAUGGAAGAAAAUGGCGCUCUUUCUUUCUAAAGGAUAUCCCUUCUCCAAGAAGACUCUUGGGAAAAUCCAAGGGAAACCAGGCAUGCGUGGGGAGAAAUGGAUCAGCGAUUUGAAUUAGAGAAUGCUACGGAAGACUGGCGAGGACUGUUCAUUGUACGGUGGGGGUUUCAACUCGGUCACCACAUUGCUUUCUUCUCAAAGAGUUGUCUUAGGCUUCAGCCAAUGGAGUCAUUUCUGCAAAGGAAAACCCCCAAACUUGGGGGUUUGUGAAUAACAUGCCAAAUAAAUUAGAUUAAUUAGGCACUUCUUUGCUUGAGUUUCUUUCUCCCACCAUGGUUUAUCUCUUUAUUUGUGACCCUGAGAAGCCAAGGAGAGGCCACAUCCUAUGUAACUAGAAACAUGGUUGCUGAAGGUAUCCCUUGCCAGACAGCUAACGACCAGAGGAAAAGAUGCUUGUCCUUUCCUUAAACUUGGCUUUACUGGUGGUAACAAUGACAUUCCUGCUGAAAAAAUCAAGAGGUGUGAGAAAAAAGAGAAAAAAAAAAACUAGGUCAACUCUUAAGGUAACAAAAAAAAAAAAUGUGGCAUACCCAAGCUGCAUCCCAGACAGCCUUCUUCACAAGGCACACAUUCUCCAUAGUCUGGGUCUUGAACUUCACCUAUAUAGGAAGAGUGAGAAAUAACGAUUCAUUUUUGCUGAGUGGAGAUGCGUUCAUUGCUAUGAAAAUAUGUUGGCAUGUAACUUGUUUUCUGCCCUUUCCUUUUCUCAGAGAUAAUGAAUUUUAAUUCUUUUAGCUGUUGCUUUGUUUUUAACCUCCAAAUGUCUAAAUGACAUGAUUAUGAUGCCUCUUGAUUUUAUUCUUAGGCAUUACCUGUAAUGGUAAAGACUAGCUUUGUUUCACCACCAUUCCAACAGACAUAGACAUACUUUCCA